ensembl:processed_transcript Gm20412 predicted gene 20412
UUCCUUCCCUCAACUCCUCACCCUAACCGUGUCCUUCCAGGCUCAUCCCCAGAUAGCCUCUCUGACAUUCUCAGGUCAGAGCUGGUGUCACAGAUGGAGUCCCUGUUUUCAAGCUCACCCACUGGCCCUGCAAGUGAUGGCCUGCCUACUGUCCCAGUACAGCACAGCAGCCUCAGUUUGUACCCUGAAGUUUCUCAUGGACGUUCAGCAGGCUGGUGUCCCUGUGAGAACUUAAGGUGCCUAGCACAUAUGGUUCCCAUUCGGGGGGGUGGAGGCGGGCGGGAAAUUGUUGGCCGGGACAGCCGGUUCCUUCAUCGAGCCAGUGGGCUCACGGUCCCUUUGUGCUUACGCUGAGGCUCCAGAGACGGUUCAAACAAUACAGAGAUACAAAGUGCUGGUGAUGGCUCUCCUCUUACCCUUGCCAGGGUACCCACUGUGUCGGCACAGAACCUUCCUCACAGCUAAGGGGACAGAUGGGGAAAUAGAUCCAGAGGAACAGGAUUGGGCCAGAAGUACACUGGGUCCCUUAGGCCGGGCCGAUGAUGACAUUUCGGUAACCCUUCACCGACUUCAGCUUGUCACACUGGAAGUUCACCACCAGCUUGUGGAGGCCAAUAUCAGUCGGGAACAG